rnacentral:rRNA from 1 species
GUGAGGAAUAUUGGUCAAUGGUCGGAAGACUGAACCAGCCAUGCCGCGUGCAGGAAGACGGUCCUAUGGAUUGUAAACUGCUUUUAUUUGGGAAUAAACUCCGGUACGUGUACCGGCCUGAAGGUACCAAAUGAAUAAGCACCGGCUAACUCCGUGCCAGCAGCCGCGGUAAUACGGAGGGUGCAAGCGUUAUCCGGAAUCAUUGGGUUUAAAGGGUCCGCAGGCGGUCUUAUAAGUCAGUGGUGAAAGCCUACAGCUCAACUGUAGAACUGCCAUUGAUACUGUAGGACUUGAAUUCGAUCGAAGUGGGCGGAAUGUGACAUGUAGCGGUGAAAUGCUUAGAUAUGUCACAGAACACCGAUAGCGAAGGCAGCUCACUAGGUCUGGAUUGACGCUCAGGGACGAAAGCGUGGGGAGCAAACAGGAUUAGAUACCCGGGUAGUCC